AUUGAACGCUGGCGGCAGGCCUAACACAUGCAAGUCGAACGAGUGGCGGACGGGUGAGUAAUAUAUGGGAAACUGCCCGAUGGCGGGGGAUAACUACUGGAAACGGUAGCUAAUACCGCAUACCAUCGGAUGUGCCCAGAUGGGAUUAGCUAGUUGGUGGGGUAACGGCUCACCUAGGCGACGAUCCCUAGCUGGUCUGAGAGGAUGACCAGCCACACUGGAACUGAGACACGGUCCAGACUCCUACGGGAGGCAGCAGUGGGGAAUUUUGGACAAUGGGCGCAAGCCUGAUGCAGCCAUGCCGCGUGUAUGAAGAAGGCCUUCGGGUUGUAAAGUACUUUUGGCGGGGAGGCGGUACCCGCAGAAGAAGCACCGGCUAACUCCGUGCCAGCAGCCGCGGUAAUAC
rnacentral:rRNA from 1 species